rnacentral:rRNA from 1 species
UACGUAGGGGGCAAGCGUUGUCCGGAUUUAUUGGGCGUAAAGAGCGUGUAGGCGGCCAGACAGGUCCGUUGUGAAAACUCGAGGCUCAACCUCGAGAUGUCGAUGGAAACCGUCUGGCUAGAGUCCGGAAGAGGAGUGUGGAAUUCCUGGUGUAGCGGUGAAAUGCGUAGAUAUCGGGAGGAACACCUGCGGUGUAGACGGCUUACUGGACCGUAACUGACGCUGAGGCACGAAAGCGUGGGUAGCAAACAGG